rnacentral:rRNA from 1 species
AUUGAACGCUGGCGGCGGGCCUAACACAUGCAAGUCGAGCGGAUGAAGGGAGCUUGCUCCUGGAUUCAGCGGCGGACGGGUGAGUAAUGCCUAUGAAUCUGCCUGGUAGUGGGGGAUAACGUCCGGAAACGGGCGCUAAUACCGCAUACGUCCUGAGGGAGAAAGUGGGGGAUCUUCGGACCUCACGCUAUCAGAUGAGCCUAGGUCGGAUUAGCUAGUUGGUGGGGUAAAGGCCUACCAAGGCGACGAUCCGUAACUGGUCUGAGAGGAUGAUCAGUCACACUGGAAGUGAGACACGGUCCAGACUACUACGGGAGGCAGCAGUGGGGAAUAUUGGACGAUGGGCGAAAGCCUGAUCCAGCCAUGACGCGUGUGUGAAGAAGGUCUUCGGAUUGUAAAGCACUUUAAGUUGGGAGGAAGGGCAGUAAGUUAAUACCUUGCUGUUUUGACGUUACCAACAGAAUAAGCACCGGCUAACUUCGUG